rnacentral:tRNA from 3 species
GGAGAAAUGCCGGAGUGGUCGAUCGGGACUGACUCGAAAUCAGUUGUACCCAUUAUGCGGUACCGGGGGUUCGAAUCCCUCUUUCUCCG